GGUUGGUUGAUGUAAUAGUAACAUAACAGACUCAUGAUUUGUCUAUGAAAGUGCAAAUCUUUCGCCCACCU
rnacentral:tRNA from 1 species